CAGAUGAACUUCUUGGAUCGCUGGGUCAUGAACCGCUGACACAGCUUUGCGUGUCUGCAUUAUCAACUGUUGAUGGUAGUUUAUGCGACUACCAUGGUUGUAACGGGUAACGGAGAAUAAGGGUUCGACUCCGGAGAGGGAGCCUGAGAAACGGCUACCACAUCCAAGGAAGGCAGCAGGCGCGCAAAUUACCCACUCUCGGCACGAGGAGGUAGUGACGAAAAAUAACGAGACGGUUCUCUAAGAGGCCCGUUAUCGGAAUGAGUACAAUCCAAACCUUUUAACGAGGAUCUAUCAGAGGGCAAGUCUGGUGCCAGCAGCCGCGGUAAUUCCAGCUCUGAAGGUGUAUACCACCGUUGUUGCGGUUAAAAC
rnacentral:rRNA from 1 species